rnacentral:rRNA from 1 species
AUUGAACGCUGGCGGCAGGCUUAACACAUGCAAGUCGAGCGGAGAUGAGGUGCUUGCACCUUAUCUUAGCGGCGGACGGGUGAGUAAUGCUUAGGAAUCUGCCUAUUAGAGGGGGACAACAUUCCGAAAGGAAUGCUAAUACCGCAUACGCCCUACGGGGGAAAGCAGGGGAUCUUCGGACCUUGCGCUAAUAGAUGAGCCUAAGUCGGAUUAGCUAGUUGGUGGGGUAAAGGCCUACCAAGGCGACGAUCUGUAGCGGGUCUGAGAGGAUGAUCCGCCACACUGGGACUGAGACACGGCCCAGACUCCUACGGGAGGCAGCAGUGGGGAAUAUUGGACAAUGGGCGGAAGCCUGAUCCAGCCAUGCCGCGUGUGUGAAGAAGGCCUUUUGGUUGUAAAGCACUUUAAGCGAGGAGGAGGCUACCUGGAUUAAUACUCUAGGAUAGUGGACGUUACUCGCAGAAUAAGCACCGGCUAACUCUGUGCCAGCCGCCGCGAUAACAC